UACGUAGGGGGCAAGCGUUGUCCGGAUUUAUUGGGCGUAAAGAGCUCGUAGGCGGCCUGUCGCGUCGGUUGUGAAAGCCCGGGGCUCAACCCCGGGUCUGCAGUCGAUACGGGCAGGCUAGAGUUCGGUAGGGGAGAUCGGAAUUCCUGGUGUAGCGGUGAAAUGCGCAGAUAUCAGGAGGAACACCGGUGGCGAAGGCGGAUCUCUGGGCCGAUACUGACGCUGAGGAGCGAAAGCGUGGGGAGCGAACAGG
rnacentral:rRNA from 1 species